GGCGUGCCUAAUACAUGCAAGUCGAGCGAAUGGAUUAAGAGCUUGCUCUUAUGAAGUUAGCGGCGGACGGGUGAGUAACACGUGGGUAACCUGCCCAUAAGACUGGGAUAACUCCGGGAAACCGGGGCUAAUACCGGGUAAUAUUUUGAACCGCAUGGUUCGAAAUUGAAAGGCGGCUUCGACUGUCACUUAUGGAUGGACCCGCGACGCAUUAGCUAGUUGGUGAGGUAACGGCUCACCAAGGCAACGAUGCGUAGCCGACCUGAGAGGGUGAUCGGCCACACUGGGACUGAGACACGGCCCAGACUCCUACGGGAGGCAGCGGUGGGGAAUCUUCCGCAAUGGACGAAAGUCUGACGGAGCAACGCCGCGUGAGUGAUGAAGGCUUUCGGGUCGUAAAACUCUGUUGUUAGGGAAGAACAAGUGCUAGUUGAAUAAGCUGGCACCCUGACGGUACCUAACCAGAAAGCCACGGCUAACUACGUGCCAGCAGCCGCGGUAAUACGUAGGUGGCAAGCGUUAUCCGGAAUUAUUGGGCGUAAAGCGCGCGCAGGUGGUUUCUUAAGUCUGAUGUGAAAGCCCACGGCUCAACCGUGGAGGGUCAUUGGAAACUGGGAGACUUGAGUGCAGAAGAGGAAAGUGGAAUUCCAUGUGUAGCGGUGAAAUGCGUAGAGAUAUGGAGGAACACCAGUGGCGAAGGCGACUUUCUGGUCUGUAACUGACACUGAGGCGCGAAAGCGUGGGGAGCAAACAGGAUU
rnacentral:rRNA from 1 species